AAGUGCUGUCUGAUGGAUUUCUAAGUAGAUAGAAAGGUGGAUCAGCUGAAAAAAGUUGUUAUCUGAAAAAGGAUUGACUUCCAAGGCUGCCUGUGAAAUAGCUUUAGCCAUGAAAUAUGUGCUAGAACAAGCAAAGAAAACCACCAGAUGACAAAAUGGGAUGGAUAAAGUGCAUGAGACAACAAAACAAAAAGCUUUCCUUAAAACUCCAUUGUCAUAACAUAUUCCUCCACUGGGUCCGUGAACAAAACACUUCACAGGAAGUGCAGUGCAAGAGCAGGAGGUCGGCGAAAGUUGUAGAUGGGGAAGCAAAUGCAGCUGCUGUAGAUAGAAAAUGAGAGGUUCAGAAUGGGGUAUACAGCAAAGAGCUGUGCAUAGGAGCAGCACUGGACAGUGUGCUGAGCAUAGGAGAGGAAAGCGGAUGGGAAUGAGCAAUUUCUGGACUAAGCUGAGCUGGGUAUAAUUGAAUUCUAGGAGACAAACUACUUUAAGAAAAAAAUGAUGUCACUCUUUUUACAUUGCAAAAAUGUAGUCUAGCAUACCCUGGUGAUGGGGAGUACAGAUAUAACGAUAGGGCCAGGAGAGCUAUGCUUGAGGUUAACUGAAUGCCUAACAUGUGUGUCCAAGUGGGAGGAAGCUGUGAUGAGACUGUCAUAUCCUCAGUUCACCUCAUAAAUAAACACCAGGCGUAGAGGAUUGCUGUAUAAGGCUGCAGUUCAAAAGGACUGAAAUCUGACAGCAGACACUGCUUCUCCUCGACAAGCACACCUUUAACCAUGCUUACUGGUUGUUCUGCUUAAGAAGAAUGUAAGGAAAGUUCUGCUUAAGAAAAUUCAAAAGAAACCUGCUACGAAAAAAAAAACAAACAACAAACAAACGAACAAACAAGCAACCAAACAAGCAAAUAAAACCCAACACCCAGAACAUAACAUACAAAGGUGUACUGUGAGUGAAGGAAAUACCUUUACUAAUAAAUUUAUUGCACACACUGAUAAUG